rnacentral:rRNA from 1 species
UACGUAGGGUGCGAGCGUUAAUCGGAAUUACUGGGCGUAAAGCGUGCGCAGGCGGCUUUGCAAGACAGAUGUGAAAUCCCCGGGCUCAACCUGGGAACUGCAUUUGUGACUGCAAGGCUAGAGUACGGCAGAGGGGGAUGGAAUUCCGCGUGUAGCAGUGAAAUGCGUAGAUAUGCGGAGGAACACCAAUGGCGAAGGCAAUCCCCAGGGCCUGUACUGACGCUCAAGCACGAAAGCGUGGGGAGCAAACAGG